rnacentral:rRNA from 1 species
UACGUAGGGCGCAAGCGUUGUCCGGAAUUAUUGGGCGUAAAGAGCUCGUAGGCGGCCUGUUUGCGUCCGCUGUGAAAUCCCCGGGGCUUAACCCCCGGGCCUGCAAUCGAUACGGGCAGACUAGAGUACUGCAGGGGAGACUGAAUUCCUGGUGUAGCGGUGGAAUGCGCAGAUAUCAGGAGGAACACGGUGGCGAAGGCGGGGUCUCUGGGGCAGUAACUGA